rnacentral:lncRNA from 1 species
UGCUGAGACUCAAUUCCCCGCUCCAUUCAGAGCUGCCACUGCACACUGGCCUCACUUUUGUUUUUAUAACUACCUUUUUCAAACUUAAGCAUCUUGCGGGACAAAAUGAUGUCACUCCUCAUUUAUACACCAAAAUAUGAGGGCUCAGAGACAAAUUAACAGCCCAGUAUUUUUCUAGGGUCCUCUCGCUUCAGUAAUUCAAAGACUCUCCAGAGAAGGUUACAUAGAUGCAGGAAUCAGUCCUACUCAUCGUCACUGCUUGUCAGGGCAGUGGGAACUCAGACUCCCUCUGAGAACAGGACGAAGGACACAAUCCUUUAACGGCAAAAGGAGAAGUAAGGCCUCUGCUCUGGCUCCACUCCAAGUGGAUCUCAGGCUGAUCAAGGAGGAACGCGCCCCCUGUGUGAGCUGAUAACAGACAAUUCCCACAGAGCUUUUUCAGAAGCUCACCCAAGACCGCCAGUUACUGUCUACCUCACUUUCUGUUCGAAGUCUAGGAGCAGAGUGAAUAAGGACAAUGAUGUGAAAGUAAAUACAACAUGCUGUGGACAUUCUAUCUGGAAAUCUUCAUGAUAUCAACAAAUCUUCUCAUGAGUGAUUCAUAAACUGGAAAAUAGCUCAAGGUAGCUAAGUUUGUCAUUACAUGCAACAACCUGAAAAGGUGCUUUUCUUCUGAGAGAGAGUAAAAACGGUUUCUGAAAGGAAAUCCUUUAGGAAAUUAGGUAAUACAGCUCUGGACAUCAUGUACUAUCAUACUCUUUGCUGAGACAUAUUCUUUGGAAAAUACAGAAAAAGUCUAGUUCUAAACCACAAGUGAGGCUAUCAAUGGGUAUCAUUCGAUGAUAAACAACUCUUGAAAAGGAAGAGAAGUAGAAUAGUUGGAACUACAAUUAAUUGAAAAAGUGGGUUAAAGCAGUGAGUCAGAAACACAUACUUAUCUUCAUUAAAUAUAUUUUAAGACAUAUAAAUGUGCAUUCAUUUGCCAAUCUUUUUGCUUAAUGCUAUUCAUUUACUUUGAGUGUGUAUGUACUAAUUGCAAUUCUUUUUUGACUUUAUUUCUCAAACCAGAAUGCAUCAUCUGUGAUUUCUAUCUCCAGUUUCUUUAAAAUGGAGCGAGAACUUUAAGAACUUGUGAUGUAACUUUAGUGCAAGAUGCAUCUAAAUUUUUAUGAAAUAUUUGUGAAUAUUUCAUAAUUAUCUUGCCCAUACUACAUUUGAAGGAAGUUUUUUAUAAAACAACUUUGUGUACCAAGACUGCAAAACUUGACUGCUCUUUUAUUCGGGUCAUUACUCAAGGUUGUUUAUGCAGCAACUUUGGGAAAUGAGGUAAUAUCGCUCCGUGGACAAAGAGUAGGCUUACAGCUUGUUAUGAAAGAGGUAGAUUCUCCAAGUGCAAUGUUCCUCAAAUGAAAUGCAAACUGACUGCAUGUGUAGCAUCCAUUUUGGCCUGACAUAUGGGAAGUUCCACUUGGAAGCAAGGGGAACUAAUGCAAAUAUGCCAAUGCUCCUGUUGCUUGCUAUGCUAUAAGUAAUAAAGUCUUUUGUCUCUGACCUAGGAGUCUUGUA